GCCAGGUAUUCCAAUGGCUGUGAGAAUCUCAAUUAACACUAAAGGAUUAACAUUAUCAAAUGCUCCAUUAACAUCAAGAAAGGCGCAAACUGUAUGGGAAUGGUUAUGAAAUGAGUUUUUGAUGUCUGAAAUUAAGGAUGUAAAGCUUUCUGUGGCACUUCUACCUCUACGAAAACCAAACUGCUCUUUAGAUGGAUUAUGACUUAUGGUACCUACUGUGGUUGUAGAACCUGUGUUAAGAAUACAAAGAUUGGACUCAUCUAAUAAAUUGAAAAUAUCAUUUCCCCUGGAGUUUGAAGAAUUACAACCAAAGGCAACAUGAUGUCCAUUAAGAUCACCUGAUAACAUUAAGGGUUUGGGCAAGUUAUCUAUAAUUUGCUUUAAUUUCUUGCAUUUAAAACGACCCCCUCUUGGAGGACUAUAUGCACACAGCAUGGAUAUUUGGCCAAUGUUGAGUUUUAAAAUAAUUGCAACUGUUUGUAAAUGGUCAUAGUAUGGUGUUUGAAUAACUUUAUAUUUAUAUGAACUCUUUAUCAAAAUAGCUACACCUCCAUGACCAUUAGGUCCGUUUUGAAGUAUUAUAUUAUAGUCUGGUAUAUUAAAGCAACUGUUUUCUUUCAA